rnacentral:rRNA from 1 species
UACGUAGGGGGCUAGCGUUGUCCGGAAUCAUUGGGCGUAAAGCGCGCGUAGGCGGCCCGGUAAGUCCGCUCUGAAAGUCCAGGGCUCAACCCUGGAAAGCGGGUGGAUACUGCCGGGCUAGAAUCCGGAAGAGGCGAGUGGAAUUCCCGGUGUAGCGGUGAAAUGCGUAGAGAUCGGGAGGAACACCAGAGGCGAAGGCGGCUCACUGGACAGGUACUGACACUCAACUACGAAAGCGUGGGGAGCAAACAGG